rnacentral:rRNA from 1 species
UUGACAUUUUAAAAGAGCGUGGAUUACUAUCUGAGUCCGAUGCUGUUCAACCACUAAUAGGUAAGAAAUCAUGAGUCAAGUUACUGAACAAUCCGUACGUUUCCAGACCGCUUUGGCCUCUAUUAAGCUCAUUCAGGCUUCUGCCGUUUUGGAUUUAACCGAAGAUGAUUUCGAUUUUCUGACGAGUAACAAAGUUUGGAUUGCUACUGACCGCUCUCGUGCUCGUCGCUGCGUUGAGGCUUGCGUUUAUGGUACGCUGGACUUUGUAGGAUACCCUCGCUUUCCUGCUCCUGUUGAGUUUAUUGCUGCCGUCAUUGCUUAUUAUGUUCAUCCCGUCAACAUUCAAACGGCCUGUCUCAUCAUGGAAGGCG